rnacentral:tRNA from 2 species
GGGCCCGUAGCUCAGGUGGAUAGAGCGGCAGCCUUCUAAGCUGCAAGUCGCGGGUUCGAAUCCCGUCGGGCCCG